AAUUGAGGAUACACGAUUGUGCAUAUGGAAAUAUAUGUAUUCAGGAAAAUUUCACUCAGAAAUAGAUUUUGCAUUCGCAUCAAUAGGAGGUAAAAUGAACAAAUGAGCAGAGGCCAAGUUGUCAGUCCCAAGCAUGGUCAGUUCUACUAUUCACAAAAUGAGAUUGAUAAAUCAACAAAAUGUAUCAGGUUUUCAAUGUUCAGUUGCACUAUAUGACUCCAAGCUUGACUCGUAUGAGUCUUCUUCCUCCACUGGCCUUCGACAUGCAAAAGGAAAUGGAGGAGGAUCAACUGUCAAUGUGCCCUCUAGUACAUUCGGUACCUCGCCCAUGGAAGGUCUCAUACGUUCAUCAUUUUGAAGACACCAAAAUGCGAUUCUCAGAACACGCUCCAACUUCUCUGGAUCCACCCCAGCAACGAUUCUUUUAUCUAUUAUUGUCUCUGGCCGCCCCUCCAUCCACUCAUUGUAUGCCCAUUCACAAACAUCUUCAACUUCUCGAGACCCGUUUACUAAUAUCAACACCAUCUUGCCAAAAUCUUCUACGUCUUUCCCCGCUGAAGUACCAUAGACUGAUGCAUCACCAUGAAAAAUCCCAAGGCCAAAAUCAGUAACUUUGGCUUCAAAAUUUUCAUCCAAGAGCACAUUUUCACAUUUCAAAUUCCCAUGGCUUACAAAUUCUCUACACCCAGUGUGCAAAUAACAAAGUGCCCUCGCCACACUUGUGCAUAUAUCAACUCUCUUUUUCCAUGUCAGCCUCUUGAAUAGCUUAGAAUCUUCUAUAUAUCUGUCAAUAGAACCAUUUUGGGCAAAUUCAUAGACAAGGUAUCUGUGACUGAACUCACAGCUUGGUCAGGUUUUUGUGAUGAAUGUUCCCUAUCUUUGACACUGCACCACGGAACUUUCUCUGUUCCGUGGUUGUAUCCAGCUCUUUGAUAGCAACUGGCUGGUUGUCAAUGUGCGGUAGCAUGCCUUUGAACAUCUUUGGUCCGAUUGGGUACUUGAAAUUCUCCGAAAACUCCUUAAUUUCACAGAAGGAUAACAUAAUCAAACCCUUUCAGUCGGGCCCUUUGAAAGCUACUGCAGCUUUCCUCCUUAAAAAUUUUCUUUUUCUGUGCAACCAAAAACCAAUCCAUAUGUGAACUACAAUAAACACAACAAAUGCGCCUGAAGCUGCCCCGAUUAGGCAAGGAAUGCAGGGCCGAUAAGAUUGCCUGAGUGGAGAAAUUGGUGCAGAGUUCAUUGGGAAAGUGAAAUCAGCAGCUAACGGGUCAGAAUAUGGACACUACUUGACAAAAGAAGCAGAACCAAUAGAGGGGUCUGAGUAACCACUCACAUAUUGGGUUGUUGUCAUUCGGCAUUCUGCAGCCCUAUUAUUUGUGAAGGUUACAGCCAUACACAGUGAAUCAUGCAGACACAUGUCUUUGCAUCGUUGUAAACUAGAUUGCGAAAUUGAAUCGUUUGCUGGGUACAUUCCAUAGAGUAAUGUGUGCUCGAGUUCAACCCAAGUGGAACUAGAUUUGCACUGAUUCGGAAGCAAACAUUUCGAGUUAGAAGCAGAAUUGUACUUAAAUGGGCACUUGCAGUCUGGGGAUCCAGAUGCAUUGAAUACACAGAUGCCCCGUUCACCACAGGUUGCAAAGACAUUGCACUGAUUUUCAACAGCCUGCCAAACUGAUCUCCAUGACCGUGAAACUUCAACCCACGAAUACAGGCGCAGAUUGCUAUCCAGAUCUAGCCUAAGGAACCGGAACUUCACUGAUUCAUGAUGAUCUUCUCCAGAGACAGACCAGACUUAAGUGAAGAGUAUUGGACAGAUGAAUGAGGAUACACGAUUGUGCAUACGGAAAUAUAUGUAUUCAGAAAAUUUCACUCAGAAAUAGAUUUUGCAUUCGCAUCAAUAGGAGGUAAAAUGAACAAAUGAGCAGAGGCCAAGUUGUCAGUCCCAAGCACGGUCACUUCUACUAUUCACAAAAUGAGAUUGAAAAAUCCACAAAAUGUAUCAGGUUUUCAAUGUUCAGUUUCGCUAUAUGACUCCAAGCUUGACUCGUAUGAGUCUUCUUCCUCCACUGGCCUUCGGCAUGCAAAAGGAAAUGGAGGAGGAUCAACUGUCAAUGUGCCCUCUAGUACAUUCAGUACCUCGCCCAUGGAAGGUCUCAUACGUUCAUCAUUUUGAAGACACCAAAAUGCGAUUCUCAGAACACGCUCCAACUUCUCUGGAUCCACCCCACCAACGAUUCUUUUAUCUGUUAUCUAUUCUUUUAUCUAUUAUGGGAGUUGGGAGUUAUGUAUUGCAAAUGAUGUGUCAAAUCAUCAUUAUCAACUUGACAGAAAAUUAAAUAUAACAAAAGAUUUUUCAUUCAUUGCCAUGAUCGUUGUGUUUAUACUUCGGGGAUGAAUGGACUCAAGUUGUGAAUAAAAUUUGAUUAAUAUAGGGGUUGUUUUGAAGCCACCAAAUUACCUAUUAAAUUUAUUUUUGAAAAUGAAUUUUAAUGAUUAAAAAUACUUCUAAAUUAAAUUAUAAUUAUAGAUACUAAAGUAUAGUUUAAAAAAAAAAAAAACUUUUACUCUUUAAAUCUAUCUUUGCAUUCAACAUAUUUUUAUUAAAUUCUAAUAAAUUAGAAAUAUUUUUAUUAACUGGACAAGUGGGUAACAAAGCUGAUGGUUUAAUCUUUAUGGGCACUUGGUGGUGGGCCACGAUCAGGGACGAGAUGUUGUUGACAGCCAUUAUGUGGGCUUGUCGUACGGACUUGUUCUACAUUUUGUUUCUGAAAGUAAAACUAGUGCAGUGUUGUAGUUCAACAACUGUUCUUUCAAGAUGAAGAAAAGGAAAAACUGAGGAGGCUUGAGCUGUAUCAUUCGUUCAAUAAUUAUGAAUAUUCAAUUAUAUUCUCUGCAAUUUCGUUUUCGGUCAGUUACAAUACAAUUUGUAACCAUAAAUUUAUGACAGCGAUUUCCAUAGCCAAUGUCGUCAGAACAAACAUCAGCUGAUCCGGUAUUAAUCACAAUGACAUUCGACUUCCUUUUAAAAAAUAUAAUGGGUUUAAUAAGUAAAAAUAUUUUUAUUAUAUAAAUUGGGUUUAGUAAGGAUAUAUUGAGUAUUUGGGUGGGUUAAGCAAUUAAAAUUUUAAAUUUUAAAUGUUGAAGAUGAAUUUAUUUAAUAAAUGAAGUUAAUGAGUAGUUUAGUGGGUUCAACCCAUUAUAUAAUUAUAACAAAAAAAAAAUUAAAUUAUUAUUUUAUUUUUGAAUAAAAUAAAAAUAGUUCAUUCGAAUGAAACAAAAUUUUCGUAGCUUUAAAAUAUAUAUAUAUAUAUUUUGUAAAAGGAAAAUAUGUCAAUUUUAAAUUAAAAUAAUUACUAUGGUAUGAUGUUCCCACAACAUCAAUGAUGAGGGAGAUGAAAUAUGGCUCUUUACUCUUCAUGAAAUUUGAGUGAUCUUAAGUAUUUCUUUUGUUAAUUGUUUAAUGUCAAAUUUUCUUUGUGUAGAUAGACCAUUUUGUCUUUAGAGAAACGACUGAAUCUUGAACAAUGCGAGUGAAAUCUAUAAAUUGCUAGGUUUGUUGGACCCAUACAUGUCAGAUGACAAAAUCAAGUGCGGUACCAUGCAUGUUAGGGGAAUAUGUAUACAAUUUUAAUGUGCGAGUGUUAUAUCAUCUAUAUAUCAUGUCAUAUUAGAACAAAUUAAGUGUUGGAUGAGAUGAAUUAGAUGUUCGAUAAAAUAUCUCUGUGAUAAGCCUCAGCUAGAACCUCAAUAUCACCUCCAGCAAGCAUUGACCGGGCAGCAUGUGAUGAUUUGGAAGUGCCAAAAAAUAGAGCUAUUUACACUUCAACACGUGUCUCAUAAAAAUCGGUUAAAUUAAAUAACCAAUAUAUUUUAUUUUGAUCAGGAUUAAAGAUCAAUAUAGAUUGAUUCUAGACGACAAAUCAAUAUAGAUUGAUAACGAAUAUAAAUUAUAUUUAGUCUCAUAUUAAAGGUCAAUCUUAAAGGUCUGGAGAAAUCAAAUAUCAAUCAAUUCAGAAAUGUUCGUAAGUAACGGCACUUGAUUACUAAUAAAACCAAGUACUAUGAACUCUCAAGUACGGGCAAAAACGGUUACCAAAUCUAACAGUCCAAAUCAAACUAAGAAAAAGAAUGGUGAGGAUUCAAAUUUGAAAUACAUUUUCCUACCAAUCUUUCAUCUCUCAAUCUAUAAAUAAGAGCCAAAAAUCAAGAAAUGAUCUUUUGGACAAUUUUUAGAACAAGCUAGAUCAAAACAAUAUAAUAUUUAAAAAAAAAUUAUCAUCCAUCAAACACUCACUUUAUCGUCGAAGUGUCUUUUACAGGCACACGUUCAAGUUCUACCAAAGAAAUUAUACGAAAAAUGUGAAUUAUUUCUAAAAUUUUCAGAGGAUUUAGGAAUGAAUUUUUACUUAUUAUACAUCGAGUUAUCUUGCAUUGAAGGCUAUGAAACCUUCAUGACUCAACGUGUAACUCAGCAUAUUCAAGAAAGCUCUGGAUAGCUCAAUGGAUAAGCAUCAGGAACCAUAUAAGACAAACGCGUAUUAUCCUUUGUAAAGCAUACUGAAUCAUGACCAUUAGAUUAGCGCUAUAGCUGCAAAUGUACUCAUCAUCUUUACUUAAUAAUAAAUUCAAGAUUUAAAUUUAAAAGCUUUUUCCUUAUUCUCAUAUUCGAUCGUGUUUAUAAAUGGACUGGACAGAAGUUAUGCAUCAUAGAUUCACAUGCAGAAUGCCGUGUCGCCAGCUCCUCUUUCUUUUGUAUGCUCUGCUUCUGAUAUGUCAAACUGUGAGGUCUUCUGUUUCUUCAGUUUCACCCCCUAAUUGCAAUGUUCUUCUUAGGAUAAAAAUCUUGCUUCUCUACGAUCUUUGAAUCUUUUAAUUGCCAGGUUUGUGGCAACACUUGAUGAUCUAUCGGAAUAAACCUUUAUUUUUAUUUCCCAAUUGACUACUCUGGGACUGGCCUAACUAGCGUUCACCCCAAUUGCAUUGUCCAAUGAAAAUAGUAGAAUAUAUUGCAAAAGUCUCACAAUUUUAUUUAUGAAAUGAAAAUAUAUUAAAACGUACAAGACAACUCUAUUCAAUCACUGCUUGUUUCAAAGUAAAGGUCUUGCGUCAAUGGAAAAAGCAGCACUAUUGUUUAGAAUUGACGUCCCCAUAGAAACUAAAUUACUUUCUAAAUAAUGUUCACUUAUGUCACCGUUCACACAAUCAAUCACUCCACAAUUCUGCUGCAAAAUGGAAGCCCCAAUUGACGCUCUAAUCCCCCCCAAUUCAAAUGCCACUUCUUUCAUUGUAGGUCUGUUCUUCCCGUUCAAGUUCAAGCAUCUUUUUGCAAGUGUAGCAACAGUCAUGAUCUCUUCUCUCUCAGCUUCCUUAAGAACUAGAGCAUCAAGGACUUCAAACAAACGGUUUUCAUUCAUUGCUUGGAGAAAAUAACCCACUAAACUUCUAUCUUCGUCAAUGUUGAUUGCACGAAUAGGUUUUUGACCAGUUAAAAUCUCAACAAGAACUACACCAAAACUAUAUACAUCACUCUUUUCAGUAAAUUGACUUGACUGAAAAUACUCUGGAUCUACAUAUCCAAAAGUCCCUUGUACUUUUGUGGUCAAAUGAGUUUGAUCAACCGUUAUAGAUCUUGAAGUUCCAAAAUCCGAAACUUUGGCUCGAUAUUUAUCGUCCAAAAGUAUGUUUGCAGACUUGAUGUCUCGAUGAUAAAUAGAAAUAGAAGCAGCUGAAUGCAAAUAGAAAAGAGCACCUGAAACUUCUACAGCAAUGCGUAAAAGCAAUUCCCAUGUAAUUGGAAACUCCUCGAUGUGGUUAUGUAUGUAUUGAUAGAGAGUUCCAUUUGGAACAAAUUCAUAGACUAAAAGAGGAACUUCUGUCUCCAAACAACAUCCCAAUAACUUAACAAUAUUUCUGUGGUUGAUUUGAGAUAAAAUUACCACCUCAUUGAUGAACUGCUCAACAUUAUUCUCAUCUACUAAUUUGGAUUUUUUGACGGCCACAAUUCUACCAUCUGCCAACAUUCCUUUAUACACAGUGCCUUGUCCUCCUUGACCCAAGAUUCGAUUGGCAUUAUAGUUAUCAGUGGCCUUUUCUAAAUCCUUUGAAGUAAACAAUUUUGUUUUCUCAACACUGCUUUUGUUUGAAGACAGUUCUUGUUGCAAUAACAAACCACCAUUUCUUUUAAAGAACUUCUGCUUGGACUUGAUUUCCCUUCUCUUUUUUGUGAACUUGUACAAUCCCCAUAUUCCAAUUAGAAACAAGGGUCCAAGCCCACAACCUGCUCCUCUCCAGGACAAGGAUAAUUAGUUAACUCACCGUCCAGACCAUUCAUCACAUGGAACUAUGUAAUAGAAAAGGUCAUAAUUUAAUGUGUAUAUCAUUUGGGUAUUUUGGUCUUCCUAAGUUAAAUCAUUAAUAACUUACAUUAACUUAAAAUUAGUUGUUAAAUUAAAAAUAGAGUUUAACUUAAAAUAGUUGUUUAAUCAAUAAUAGAGUUCACUGUAAAACUCUUGGGGCAUUUUUGGGACAUUAAUUUUGGGUCAAUAAGUUAUGUAUAACUAAUGUAACAUAGCGCUGUCUUGAUGUUUUAUCUAGAAAUUUAUAUCUUGAUGAUAUAAAUUUGGAUCAUCCUGAGUUUCAAUAAUCGAAAUUUUUGGAAUUUAUUCUGGUUAAACACGGUCCAUUAUUGGGAUCAAAUUUAAAAUACCCAGGUUAUGUCCCGAGUGUGGCAUAGGGAAAAGUCGCCCUGGUCUUGAUCCUGUGAGCCAAAACUCAUACUCCAACCGGGAUUUUCAAAUUCCUAUUGGUACCACCACAUACUACACCUUGACACUACACAGCACAACUCUCAGUAAUGAUAUUCAUAAAAAUUUAGACGUACUUAAAUAUAAAAGAUUUUGUCCACCCUACCAUAAAAUGAAUAAAUAAAUAUUUAAUUACCACCGUAUGGCUUUUGAAUUCUGUAUGAUUUCGACAAACCUAAGAGGUGUGCUAAAAAUACCCUAUUAUUAACACCUGAUUUUUGUUUCGUUUAGUCUAAAAUAUAUUAUUCUUUUAAGACCUUAGGCAAGGUAUAUGAAAAAGGAAACAAUAAAUAAUUUUUUUUUGUUUAAGUAUUUUAUUCUCUUAAAAGCGUCAUCAACCACAGUUGGACUUCCCCAUGACUAUUAGAAAAAAAAAAUUAAUUUAGAGAAUAUUAAGGGGCAGCAAAUUAUGUCAAAAGGUUCUCAAACUGUCAAACAUGCAACAAAAUGUAUUAGAAGGUGCUUUGACUGCUUACCUAGAGCGACCUUAAUCAAAUUUUUUUGAUUGGGUAUACAACCUCCUCCAUCUUUUCUUCCGUCUCCAUGAAACCCCUUGCGGCAGCGACAUGUGUAACUUCCUGGUAUGUUAUCACAUAUGUGCGUGCGCGUGCAGUUAUUGAGGCUUGGGUCUUCGCAUUCAUUAAUAUCUGCCAUUAAAUAAUUGUUUUAAAUAUUAAUUAAUUAAAAAUGAUUUUAAAAAUUCGAAAAUGAACAUCCACACGUGAGUGAGAAUGAUUAAAGAUUUAUUUAUACCUUGGCAACCAUCAGAGAGGUACGGAUUGCCUUCGUAUCCUUUGUUGCAUUUGCAACGAUAGCCGGAAGAAGUACUGGUGUUAUCCUUGGGUGUAUCGCAGGAUGCAUUGAGUCCACAUAUUUUUGCUUCUUCACAUGUUUCACUUGUUGUUAUUUCCCAAUCAAGCACCAUAGGAAACCCCUCUGGUACGCCCCCCUCGGCAAGAUAAUUGGAGGUGAAAUGGAACUGGCUUUGAUCAACAACGAACGCAUAAGUGCAUGGAUUGAAUGAGGACACAUUUGUGUGAUUGUUAAAGCUGUAUGCGUCCACGUCGAGUUGUUUCAGCCCUUUAGGAAUCUCAAUCUGGCAACAUCCAGUGCCGACGCAGGAUCCAUUGGUGACAUAGUCAAGGCUGUCGCACGUGCUUGUGCAGCCGGAUUUGUACCUGUCCUCACCCAAGAAACCACGUACGUAAGCGUAGCUGUCACAGCCAAUGACUACGAACUUGUUUCCCGUUCUAGAGAAGGUGAAUUUGGACAGAGUGAUGUAAGGCAACUUGCUGUCUACCGAAUUUCCCUUAGCAUCGUAGCAGUCUUUUGCGGUGAAUUGCAUGACACUCAAGUGACCGUCGAUGGAUAUGUUGACAACGUCGACAUUUGACUCCCCUAAGAAUGGUUUGGGUGGGUUGAAAUGAGUGUCGUUACAAGUGAUGCGAAAGUCUUCGUUCAGGAAACAACCAGGCUCUGUACCGAAUGGAUACGGGAUCUCGACGUCUCCACAACGAUUGAGGCAGCCAGGCUUGGAUUGAGCAUGAGCAGCAGAGGCAGUACUUGCUCUAGAAGUACAGCAGUGGCAGCUCAUUGCUAGUAGUAGCAGCUGCACUCGCACCACCAGCAUAAUAAGUCGGAAAGGCAUUUUGAGGAAUCCCAUAAUUAUUUCCUAGGUAGCUAGCCAGUUCGCUCUAUAGGAAAGAUCAUUACGAAUUAAUUUGGAUUUUAUAACGAUAAGAGGAGUUCAGCUGCUAUAGUUUACUUUGAAAAUUCUUAAAAUGCGGUAUUAAAUCCUGUUUGGUAUUCAUUAGUUAUAGUUUGAAAGUUAUAAGGCAGGUCAACUCUCAUGAAGAGAGUUAUGGUGAGGUCUUACAGUUCUCUUUAUGAGAGUUAGCCAGGUGACCGUGACUCUUCUGAUUAAAAUUUUAAAAGGUACAAUAUUAAAGUAUUUAAUAAACAUUUACAAACUAUAAAUUAAAAGUUAAUUUAAUUUAAUUUUACAUUUAUAUAAUGAAAAAUAAUAAUUUAUUAAUUAUUUUUGUUAAAUUAUUAUUUAAAAAUUAUAUUCAUUAUAUACUGUUAAUUUUUAUUUUAUAAAUAUAAUUUUUUCCAUAAUAAUUAUAAUUAAAAAAUUCAACAAAAUCCAAUUCCAAUCGGACCCUCCAGAGACCAUCAAAACAUGCCCACCGUCAAACACUCGAACCCAGUAACUGCAUUUGGUCGACUCAUGAAGAAUCAGUCAAUGAAGUCUUCAUCUCUCAAAUGGAUCGAUCAAUUCCUAGUCCGGGGUCCCACAUAAAUUUAUUUAAUUGUUUUGACAAAUUCAAGGAACAAUUUUCUGUUAAGUAAGCGAAAAAAAAUCCAAAUACUGUUCGAAGACAUCUACAUCAACAAAUAUGAUAAAGAAUCUUAAUGGUGACACAAAGGUAAUAAAAUAACCAUAAAAUUGUGCAGCAUUAAUUUUUUACUUAACAUUAUAAUACUUUAUAAUUUUAUAAUUAUUUUAUCACCAUUAUAUCAAAUAUUUCGAUUCGAGUAUCAAUACUUCUGUAUACUUGUUUUAUUCUCCAAAAAAAACUUAUUUCGAGAGUAUUUUAAUUUUUCUUAGGAUUUUGUUUUAUUACUUAUAUAUUUUAAGUAAAUACGAUUCUUAACAUACAAAUUAAUAUUAUAAAAAAAAAAACUUGUUCAAAACUGUUACCCCAUGAGGAUUCCAAAACCAACUUAAAUUUUGCAUGGGGUUUGGCUCAAACAAAGUACUAAGAAUAAUGUUAUUUGCAUAAAAAAUCACACGUAAUCACUAAAAAUUAAAAAAAAAAAUCACCUAGGGUUGCUCAAUCAUUAAAUUUUCGGUUGAUCUGAUUGUUUUGAUUGGUUGAUCACGCUUCAUGAAAGUCGCCGAUAGUUUUAAGACAUCAAACAAGAAUUAAUUUUCUACGGAGAAUUAUUAAUUAUUGAGUAAUAUGAGAUAUAUCAAGAAUGAAACAUUCAUUUUCUUUUCUCGAGAAAACGUAAAUUUAUAUGGAGGGGGACAAUGAUUCAUUUUUCUUUUAUUUUUUUUAUCACUUAGAUCUUUCUAAAAUUUUAAUAACUUAUGUAAUUGCUAACAUUAAAUUGUUAAAGAAAAAAAUGAGUUUUGACAUACAAAUUGAUAUUAGAAAAAUAAUUCAACAUUGUUUUAUAAAUUGAAAUCAAUUAAUCAAAUAUAUAGUAUGUCAUUCGUUUUAGCAACAUUGUCUUUGUUGUAAUUUAUUCUAUUAAUAGGGCGUGAUUACACAAAUGAUUGGGAGAAUGUAGAUUCAAAUUGUGAAUCCUAUUCAACAUAAAAGUCUAUUAUAACAUUUAAUAUAUUGGGAGAAUAUAGAACCACGAUGACUUGUUAAAAUUUAUUAAUUUGAAUCAGUCAAUUUGCUGAGGCAAGAUGUUGGCGUCCACUAUAAAAUAUGAGGUUGUGAUUUUUUUUAAUUAUAAUUUAUAACAUUUAAUAUCUUGUCAAUUCGAUCAUUUAGUUUUUUCUUUAAUGAAAAUAACAUUAUAUAGCUGAAAACAUCAAAUUACAGUUUUGUGUGGAGAUCUAUAAUAUAAAAUCUAUAACUAUAAAGAUCAAAAUGACGGCGUAAAUUAUUGAUAGAUUUCCCAUUCUAAUUUCAUAUUUUUUUUAAUUUAAAUUUUUUGUCAAUUAAAUUAUUUUAUUGGGCAGGGUACAAAUUGAAGUUUAAGAUGUAAAUGUGCAUAAAGAAUCGAAUCCUGAAAGAAAUAAAGAUAAAAUGGAAACAAAUGAAAUUGAUGGGCACGGAUUGGGAAAUUGUGUGGAGAGCGUAAGAAAAUAUGGAAGAUUUGGUGGUCACCGGCUUUGUCAUUCAUGAAGCGUAAGGAAAGCCACCGAGAGGGGUCAAGAAAAAUAAAAGCAAUUAAUGGUUAAAUUACGUUAUUUUGAUGGAAAUGUACGCGAGUGAAUUAGAAUUUAAUGAAGAUUUGUGGCUUAACACGCAUGGCGGCUGACUUCUAACAUAUAUAAAAAAUAAAUAAAAAGCCAUUGGCUUUUGAAAGGGGAAGCGGACCAAAGUUGGGGAACCGCCUUUAGCAGAGCAGAAGCCACGGCUUGGAGAAGAGCCAGCCGUUCGAUUAAUUCUCAUGAUUGGUUUUAUCUUUUGUUUUUUACUCUUAGUAACUAAACUUCUGUCCUAGAGUCGAGGAUCGCACCUUAUUGAAUGAGAUAAAUUAAUUUCUAUUCAAUUAAUUCCUUAUACGUGUGCUUUUAAUGUUUUAUGAUUUUUGUUUCAUAUGUUUAGUUGAAUAUUAUUAAAUAUUUUUAUUGAUUCGAUUAUGUAAUAUUAAUUGUUAGGAUUAAUAUUUAAUUGAAUUUAUAUUUGGAUCCAUGAAGUUUGUAUAUGAUUAUUUUUCGAUUCUAUAUCUUUUAUUAAAUUGUUUACAAAGAGUACUUAAAAAAAUUUUGACUCUUUGUUAUUUAAUAUUUUUUAUAUGGGAUGGUUAGAUAAUGUAUUAUUAAACAGAAAAAGAAUCUAUAUAAGAUUAAUUUUAAUUGGACUCAAUUGUUAUGUUUAUGAGUGGACUUAAAUUGAUAUCUAGCUAUCAUUCUAAAAUUAGGAAUUGAUUGGUAAUUAGAUAAUUGAUAAGUUAAAUUAUAGUGGAUUUUGAAACCUCAAUAGCUUCAAUCUCUUGAGUUCUUGCAUUACUUUACUCAUUUUAAAUUUACUUGCGUCAGAGUUUUAAUUUUCUCAAAUAAAAUAUUUUCUUUUUAGUUAGGAUAGAGUUCAAAUUAACUUAAAUUAGAUUUUAUUUUUGUAAAAUUGACAAUCUCUGUAUAUUCAACCUCAUUAUUUAUAGUCUAUACAUCAACAGACUCGUGCGUUUACAAGUACAAUAAAAUUUAGACAAACAUAAAACGUAAAACUUUUCUAAAUUAAAUGGCUAAAUUUCAGUUGGGACUAAUUAUUUUGUCUUGAGGUUUCUCAAAUCAUAUGACAUCUAAAGUGUGCCUCCAAUGGAAUUGGCUUCGGUCAUCAGCAUAACAUUUAAUGCUUGGAUUGAAAAAUGAUACAUUGAUGAUUGAUUAAUAACAAACUCAAUGCCUUUUUUUUAAAAAAAAAAAGGUAAAAUAAACCACAAACUCAAGAAUUAAAUGCAUUAAUUUGGACUGAUUUGAACGAUAGGCACACAACACUCCACACGUUAACAAAAUGGAAACUUAUCAUUUAUGUACCGAUUUUCACAAUUUUAUUGAAUCAAAUUGAUUCUCACGCUUAUCCAAUGGGCUCCCAUGCACCCCAUAGCUAGUUUCAUCUUUUAUCAAUUAUGGAUUGGUAAUUAAAUAAUUGGUCAUCCAUGUUUUGCCAUGUAUCAACCUUGGGUGGUUGUUAAGACUCAACUCCCCUCUUAUAUAGGAGUUUACUUGUCUCUCUGUAUUUGAGAUAGAAUAUAUCUCUCUCCAAUAUUAAUGUAAGGGUAGGUUUUACUCUAAAACUAAAUGAGGGUUGACUUUCAGGUUGUGCCAUAAUAAGAUUAUUAAAGAGGGUUCUGACCGAUUUUUGAUUGUGUAUAUCAGUCUCUGAUUGUAAUAUAUUAGUAUAUCAAAAAAAAAUAUUAAUUCUCAUGUUCAGGCUAUUGUAUAUAAAUGGUAGCAUUUUGUUAUAUUCCAAUUAUUUUCUUUCUUUUUAUUUUGGAAAAUUCUGAAAAGAUUUUUUUUCAAGUUGCCCUUAAGAUGUAAAAAAAAUUAUUAGGAAUCUAAACUCCGGCGAAAUCAUGAGAAAAAUACACUAAAACAAAAAAUUAAACUCCCCCAAAACGACAUUAUAUUACAUUACGUGUAUUUUUAUCAAAAUUUCAUCAAGAUUUAAUUCUCAUAUCAAUUCUCUUGGUCUAUUUGCUUGACCGUUGACCUCAAGUCAGCAAUUGUGUCUACACGUAGCCUCGUCUGUCCACAGAAUUGAAGGUUCAUUUGAUUUUUCGGAUUUGAUCAUCACGUUGAAACUCAGUGCAUGGCUUAGAGUUCAUGCUUGGUUUAAAAAAUGAUGCAUUGAUGAUUGAUCAAUAAAAAAAUCAAUACUUAUUUUAAAAAAGGUAAAACAAACAAUAAACUCAAAAAUUAAAUGCAUUAAUUUGGACUGAUUUGGACAAUAGGCACGCAACAUUCCACACGUUAAUAAAAUGGAAUCUUAUCAUCUAUGUACCGAUUUUCACAAUUUUAUUGUAUAAUUUGAUUCUCAUGUUUUGCCAAUGGGCUUGUAACUCAUUGGCAAUCUAUGCCCCCAAUAAUUAAUUUUAUCUUUUGUCAAUUAUGGAUUGGUAGUUAGAUAAUUGGUAAUUCAUGUUUUACCAUGUAUAAACCUUAGGCACAUCGUUGUUAUGACUCAACUUCCUUUUUAUGUAGAGGUUUAUCUGUCUCUCCGCAUUUGAAAUAGAAUAGAUCUCUCUCCAGUAUUAAAGUAAGGAUAGAUUUUCCUCUAGUACUAAGUGAGGGUUGACCUUCAGGUUAUACCAUAAUAAGAUUAUUAAGGAGAGUCCCGACCGAUCUCUAAUUGUACAUAUUAGUUGAGCUCUGAUUAUAAUAUAUCAGUAUAUCGAAAAAAAAAUUAAUUCUCAUGUUCAGGCUAUUGUAUAUAAAUAGUAGCAUUUUGUUAUAUUCCAAUUAUUUUCUUUCUUUUUAUUUUGGGAAAUUCUAAAAAGAAUUUUUUCAAAUUGCCCUUAAGAUGUAAGAAAAAUUAUUAGGAAUCUAAAGUCCGACAAAAUCAUGAGAAAAAUACACUAAAACAAAAAUUUAAACUUCCCAAAACAACAUUAUAUUACAUUACGUGUAUUUUUAUCAAAAUUUCAUUAGGAUUUAAUUCUCAUAUCAAUUCUCUCGGUCUAUUUGCUUGACCGUUGACCUCAAGUCAGCAAUCGUGUCUACACGUAGCUCCUGUCCACAAAAUUGAAGGUUCAUUUGAUUCUUCUGAUUUGAUCAUCACGUUGAAACUCAGUGCAUGGCUCAGAGUUCAUGCACAGUUAAAAAAAAAAUUGGUUAAAUUCUUGAAGUUGAUUUUAUGUUCUAACAAUAAAGAGAGUGAAAAGAUAAUCAGGGACAAGAAAUGAGGAUCAAUUUUCUCCAUACAAUUAUUAGUUGUCGACAUGGGCCAAUUGAGGAUUUUUCUCUGUAGAUUCGAUCUCAUUAUUCAUAGUCUAUACUUUAACAGGCUUGUGCACUUACAAAUAUGAAAUGUAAAACUUUUCUAAAUUAAAUGGCUAAAUUUCAAUUGGGAAUAAUUAUUUUCGACUUGAGGUUUAUCAAAUCAUAUAACCUCUAAGUGUCGCUCCAAUGGAACUGGCUUCGGUGAUCAACAAAUGCGUUUAAUGCUUGGGUUUGAAAAUGAUACAUUGAUGACUGAUCAAUAACGAACUCAAUACUUAUUUUAAAAAAGGUAAAACAAACAAUAAACUCAAAAAUUAAAUGCAUUAAUUUGGACUGAUUUGGACAAUAGGCACACAACAUUCCACACGUUAACAAAAUGAAAUCUUAUCAUCUAUGUACCGAUUUUCACAAUUUUAUUGUAUUAUAAGUUGAUUCUCAUGUUUUGCCAAUGGGCUUGUAACCUAUUGGCAAUCUAUGCGCCCAAAAACUAAUUUUAUUUUUUGUCAAUUAUGGAUUGGUAGUUAGAUAAUUGGUAAUUCAUGGUUUACCAUUUAUUAACCUUAGGCACAUAGUUGUUAGGACUCAACUUCCUUCUUAUGUAGAGGUUUACUUGUCUCUCCCCAUUUGAAAUAGAAUGGUUCUCUCUCCAGUAUUAAAGUAAUGAUAGAUUUGUCUCUAGUACUAAGUGAGGGUAGACCUUCAGGUUAUACCAUAAUAGGAUUAUUAAGGAGAGUCUCAAUCGAUCUCUGAUUGUACAUAUCAGUUGAGCUCUGAUUGUAAUAUAUUAGUAUAUCAAAAAAAAAUUAAUUCUCAUGUUCAGGUUAUUGUAUAUAAAUGGUAGCAUUUUGUUAUAUUCUAAUUAUUUUCUUUCUUUUUAUUUUGGGAAAUUCUGAAAAGAAUUUUUUCAAAUUGCCCUUAAGAUGUAAAAAAAAUUAUUAGGAAUCUAAACUCCGGCAAAAUCAUGAGAAAAAUACACUAAAACAAAAAAUUAAACUCCCCCAAAACAACAUUAUAUUACAUUACGUGUAUUUUUAUCAAAAUUUCAUCAAGAUUUAAUUCUCAUAGCAAUUCUCUUGGUCUAUUUGCUUGACCGUUGACCUCAAGUCAACAAUCAUGUCUACACGUAGCUCUGUCUGUCCACAGAAUUGAAGGUUCAUUUGAUUCUUUUGAUUUGAUCAUCACGUUGAAACUCAGUGCAUGGCUCAGAGUUCAUGCACAGUUUAAAAAAAAAAAUUGGCUGAAUUCUUGAAGUUGAUUUUAUGUUCUAAUGAUAAAGAAAGUGAAAAGAUAAUCGGGGACAAGAAAUGAGGAUCAAUUUUCUCCGUAGAAUUAUUAGUUGCCGACGGGGGCCAAGUGAGGAUUUUUCUUUUUAAAGGUUGGGCUAAAGAAAUUUCACUUUACUAUAACUAUUUAUUUUAAAGGCCUAAUUACUACAAUAUUUAACUAAUUAAAUUUCAAAUAACGUUUCAUUAAUAGGUAAGAAAAAGAAUAUGCACUUAAUCUAGGAAGGAUACAUAUAAUAUACAUUACCCAACAAUAUUCAAUUUUUAUUAUACAAAUACAAAUACAAAACAAAAUUAAGUACUAUCGAAAUUACGCCUGACAUUACUCUAAAAUGUAAAACUGAUGGGUCUUGAUGCGACUUCACAAAAUAUUACAAGAAGUUAAAUAUUUUGUGAAUUUAACUUCUUGAAUCAGAAAAGUAAUAAACUAAAAAUAAAUAGAUUUAAAAUGAGUAGUAAAUUCUUUGCCCUCACAAAUUUGUGUCCAUGAGAGAAAUGAAGAGAAAAUUGGAGAUGAAGAAAUUAUAGGAAAGGGAUGAAAAUUAAAUUAUAAAAUUAGAAGAACAACCCUCUAAUAAAUUAUGUGGCAAUUUUGUAAUAACUGGAAAAAAAUAGUAAUUGUGUAAGUAGCUAUAACUUGAAAAAACGACAGGUCAGUUGAUUGUGAAAAUAAUUCCAACUUGUGACAUAUAAUUUAAAAUUUUAACAAGUCAGACAGGUAACAAUUAAAAAUAGAGCAUCAUAACACAGAUUUUAUAGAAAAUAAAUGUAUAAUAUAAUAAGGUCCUUUUGCAUAAUUUUUGGAGUUAAGACAGACAUUUCACUCGGUAUAUCUUGAUAUUCAUUGGAGGUCAUUAUUCAUUUUGUAUGCCUGGCCGUAGUCCUAUUGCUACUUCAUAGUGUUCCCACAAGCUACAAUAGAUAUUGCCGAAACUUUUUUUUUUUUUUUUUUUACAAAAGGAAAUCAACAACAAUAAGCUAAAAAUUAAAGUAGUAUGGUAAAUCGCAAAACUUUUUAAUUCAAACCUAUGAUACUUGAGGUUGCUGCUUCAAUAUCUGUAGUUCUAAGUUUGGCAUCACAAAUAGCUGUCACAGCUUCACUGUCAAGUGCAGUCAAAACUUCACUAAUGCAUACGCAUAGCGAAAAAAGGCUGGAAAUGAUGGCCAAAACUUAAGUGAAGAGUAUUGGACAGAUGAAUUGAGGAUACACGAUUGUGCAUAUGGAAAUAUAUGUAUUCAGGAAAAUUUCACUCAGAAAUAGAUUUUGCAUUCGCAUCAAUAGGAGGUAAAAUGAACAAAUGAGCAGAGGCCAAGUUGUCAGUCCCAAGCAUGGUCAGUUCUACUAUUCACAAAAUGAGAUUGAAAAAUCAACAAAAUGUAUCAGGUUUUCAAUGUUCAGUUGCACUAUAUGACUCCAAGCUUGACUCGUAUGAGUCUUCUUCCUCCACUGGCCUUCGGCAUGCAAAAGGAAAUGGAGGAGGAUCAACUGUCAAUGUGCCCUCUAGUACAUUCAGUACCUCACCCAUGGAAGGU
rnacentral:lncRNA from 1 species